CAAUAGCGUAUUAAGUUAGUUGUCAGUUAAAAGCUCGUAGUCGGAUUUCGGGUCGGGCCGAGCGGUCUGCCGAUGGGUAUGCACUGUUUGGCGCGGCCUUCUUUCCGGAGACCGCGGCUACUCUUAACUGAGCGGGCGUGGGAGACGGAUCGUUUACUUUGAAAAAUUAGAGUGUUCAAAGCGGGCUUACGCUUGAAUAUUUCAGCAUGGAAUAACACUAUAGGACUCCUGUCCUAUUUCGUUGGUCUCGGGACGGGAGUAAUGAUUAAGAGGAACAGUUGGGGCAGUUCGUAUUUCAUUGUCAGAGGUGAAAUUCUUGGAUUUAUGAAAGACGAACUUCUGCGAAAGCAUUUGCCAAGGAUGUUUUCAUUAAUCAAGAACGAAAGUUGGGGCUCGAAGAUGAUCAGAUACCA
rnacentral:rRNA from 1 species